rnacentral:rRNA from 1 species
UACGGAGGGUGCGAGCGUUGUCCGGAAUCACUGGGCGUAAAGGGCGCGUAGGUGGCCCCUUAAGUGUGUGGUGAAAGCCCGGGGCUCAACCCCGGGUCGGCCAUGCAAACUGGGGGGCUUGAGCAUUGUAGAGGCAGGCGGAAUUCCGGGUGUAGCGGUGGAAUGCGUAGAGAUCCGGAAGAACACCGGUGGCGAAGGCGGCCUGCUGGGCAAUUGCUGACACUGAGGCGCGACAGCGUGGGGAGCAAACAGG